AGUGAACGCUGGCGGUAGGCCUAACACAUGCAAGUCGAACGGCAGCACAGGAGAGCUUGCUCUCUGGGUGGCGAGUGGCGGACGGGUGAGGAAUACAUCGGAAUCUACCUUUUCGUGGGGGAUAACGUAGGGAAACUUACGCUAAUACCGCAUACGACCUACGGGUGAAAGUGGGGGACCGCAAGGCCUCACGCGAUUAGAUGAGCCGAUGUCCGAUUAGCUGAUUGGCGGGGUAAUGGCCCACCAAGGCGACGAUCGGUAGCUGGUCUGAGAGUCUGACCACCCACACGGGAGCUGAGACACGGUACAGACUCCCACGUGAGGCAGCAGUGGGGAAUAUUGGACAAUGGGCGCAAGCCUGAUCCAGCCAUACCGCGUGGGUGAAGAAGGCCUUCGGGUUGUGAAGCCCUUUUGUUGGGAAAGAAAUCCUGUCGCUUAAUACUCGGUGGGGAUGACGGUACCCAAAGAAUAAGCACCGGCUAACUUCGUGCCAGCAGCCGCGGUAACAC
rnacentral:rRNA from 1 species